rnacentral:rRNA from 1 species
UACGUAGGGUGCGAGCGUUGUCCGGAAUUAUUGGGCGUAAAGGGCUCGUAGGCGGUUUGUCGCGUCGGGAGUGAAAACUCAGGGCUUAACCCUGAGCCUGCUUCCGAUACGGGCAGACUAGAGGUAUGCAGGGGAGAACGGAAUUCCUGGUGUAGCGGUGAAAUGCGCAGAUAUCAGGAGGAACACCAGUGGCGAAGGCGGUGCUCUGGGCCGGAACUGACGCUGAGGCACGAAAGCGUGGGAGCAAACAGG